rnacentral:rRNA from 1 species
CCUACGGGUGGCAGCAGUGGGGAAUAUUGCACAAUGGGGGAAACCCUGAUGCAGCGACGCCGCGUGAGUGAAGAAGUAUUUCGGUAUGUAAAGCUCUAUCAGCAGGGAAGAAAAUGACGGUACCGGAUUAAUAAGCCCCGGCGAACUACGUGCCAGCAGCCGCGGGAAUACGUAGGGGGCAAGCGUUAUCCGGAUUUACUGGGUGUAAAGGUAGCGUAGACGGCAGUACAAGUCUGGAGGUAAAUGCCGGGGGUUAACCCCGGAACUGCUUUGGAAACUGGGCAGCUAGAGUGCAGGAGAGGUAAGUGGAAUUCCUGGUGUAGCGGUGAAAUGCGUAGAUAUUAGGAGGAACACCAGUGGCGAAGGCGGCUUACUGGACUGUAACUGACGUUGAGGCUCGAAAGCGUGGGGAGCAAACAGGAUUAGAUACCCCUGUAGUC